AACAUCGCGCACCUGCGGGAACCUGCGGAAGGAUCAUUACAGAGUUGCAAAACUCCCUAAACCAUUGUGAACGUUACUUAAACCGUUGCUUCGGCGGGCGGCCCGGGUCCUUCCCGGCGCCCAUCGGCCCUCGCGGGCGCCCGCCGGAGGUAAACCAAACUAUUGCAUUGUAUGGCCUCUCUGAGUCUUCUGUACUGAAUAAGUCAAAACUUUUAACAACGGAUCUCAGAUCGGAAGAGC
rnacentral:misc_RNA from 1 species